rnacentral:misc_RNA from 1 species
AACACUGUUAACCUGCGGUACCUGCGGAGGGAUCAUUACCAGAGUGCCUUCAGGCUCUCCAACCCACUGUGAACAUACCUACGUUCCCCCGGCGGGCCCAGCGCGCGGCGAGGUCCUCCUCGCCCCGCGUCCGCCGAGGGCAUCUCAAACCCGAUUUUAUGUCGUGUCUUCUGAGGGGCGAAAGCCCGUAAAACAAAAUGAAUCAAAACUUUUAACAACGGAUCUCAGAUCGGAAGAGCA